GGUAAGGUAACGGCUUACCAAGGCGACGAUCAGUAGCCGACCUGAGAGGGUGAUCGGCCACAUUGGAACUGAGACACGGUCCAAACUCCUACGGGAGGCAGCAGUGGGGAAUAUUGCACAAUGGGCGCAAGCCUGAUGCAGCAACGCCGCGUGAGUGAUGAAGGCCUUCGGGUCGUAAAACGCUGUCCUCAAGGAAGAUAAUGACGGUACUUGAGGAGGAAGCCCCGGCUAACUACGUGCCAGCAGCCGCGGUAAUACGUAGGGGGCUAGCGGUAUCCGGAUUUACUGGGCGUAAAGGGUGCGUAGGCGGUCUUUCAAGUCAGGAG
rnacentral:rRNA from 1 species